rnacentral:rRNA from 1 species
GCGGGUGCUAACGUCCGUCGUGAAGAGGGAAACAACCCAGACCGCCAGCUAAGGUCCCAAAGUCAUGGUUAAGUGGGAAACGAUGUGGGAAGGCCCAGACAGCCAGGAUGUUGGCUUAGAAGCAGCCAUCAUUUAAAGAAAGCGUAAUAGCUCACUGGUCGAGUCGGCCUGCGCGGAAGAUGUAACGGGGCUAAACCAUGCACCGAAGCUGCGGCAGCGACACUGUGUGUUGUUGGGUAGGGGAGCGUUCUGUAAGCCUGUGAAGGUGGCCUGUGAGGGUUGCUGGAGGUAUCAGAAGUGCGAAUGCUGACAUAAGUAACGAUAAAGCGGGUGAAAAGCCCGCUCGCCGGAAGACCAAGGGUUCCUGUCCAACGUUAAUCGGGGCAGGGUGAGUCGACCCCUAAGGCGAGGCCGAAAGGCGUAGUCGAUGGGAAACGGGUUAAUAUUCCCGUACUUGGUGUUACUGCGAAGGGGGGACGGAGAAGGCUAUGUUGGCCGGGCGACGGUUGUCCCGGUUUAAGCGUGUAGGUGUGUGUUCCAGGUAAAUCCGGUUCACUUUAACACUGAGGCGUGACGACGAGGCACUACGGUGCUGAAGCAACAAAUGCCCUGCUUCCAGGAAAAGCCUCUAAGCAUCAGGUAACAUCAAAUCGUACCCCAAACCGACACAGGUGGUCAGGUAGAGAAUACCAAGGCGCUUGAGAGAACUCGGGUGAAGGAACUAGGCAAAAUGGUGCCGUAACUUCGGGAGAAGGCACGCUGACACGUAGGUGAAGUGAUUUACUCACGGAGCUGAAGUCAGUCGAAGAUACCAGCUGGCUGCAACUGUUUAUUAAAAACACAGCACUGUGCAAACACGAAAGUGGACGUAUACGGUGUGACGCCUGCCCGGUGCCGGAAGGUUAAUUGAUGGGGUCAGCGCAAGCGAAGCUCCUGAUCGAAGCCCCGGUAAACGGCGGCCGUAACUAUAACGGUCCUAAGGUAGCGAAAUUCCUUGUCGGGUAAGUUCCGACCUGCACGAAUGGCGUAAUGAUGGCCAGGCUGUCUCCACCCGAGACUCAGUGAAAUUGAACUCGCUGUGAAGAUGCAGUGUACCCGCGGCAAGACGGAAAGACCCCGUGAACCUUUACUAUAGCUUGACACUGAACAUUGAGCCUUGAUGUGUAGGAUAGGUGGGAGGCUUUGAAGCGUGGACGCCAGUCUGCGUGGAGCCGACCUUGAAAUACCACCCUUUAAUGUUUGAUGUUCUAACGUGGACCCGUGAUCCGGGUUGCGGACAGUGUCUGGUGGGUAGUUUGACUGGGGCGGUCUCCUCCUAAAGAGUAACGGAGGAGCACGAAGGUUGGCUAAUCCUGGUCGGACAUCAGGAGGUUAGUGCAAUGGCAUAAGCCAGCUUGACUGCGAGCGUGACGGCGCGAGCAGGUGCGAAAGCAGGUCAUAGUGAUCCGGUGGUUCUGAAUGGAAGGGCCAUCGCUCAACGGAUAAAAGGUACUCCGGGGAUAACAGGCUGAUACCGCCCAAGAGUUCAUAUCGACGGCGGUGUUUGGCACCUCGAUGUCGGCUCAUCACAUCCUGGGGCUGAAGUAGGUCCCAAGGGUAUGGCUGUUCGCCAUUUAAAGUGGUACGCGAGCUGGGUUUAGAACGUCGUGAGACAGUUCGGUCCCUAUCUGCCGUGGGCGCUGGAGAACUGAGGGGGGCUGCUCCUAGUACGAGAGGACCGGAGUGGACGCAUCACUGGUGUUCGGGUUGUCAUGCCAAUGGCACUGCCCGGUAGCUAAAUGCGGAAGAGAUAAGUGCUGAAAGCAUCUAAGCACGAAACUUGCCCCGAGAUGAGUUCUCCCUGAGACUUAAAGUCUCCUGAAGGAACGUUGAAGACGACGACGUUGAUAGGCCGGGUGUGUAAGCGCAGCGAUGCGUUGAGCUAACCGGUACUAAUGAACCGUGAGGCUUAACCUUAC